CACCAUUUUAAAUCACGUAUCGACUGUCCCUCACUCUGUACCAGCUUAAUUCACUCCCUCACUAGUAUGUCAACUCACUCACUCACUGAGACUCCCUUAUAUACCAGUUCGCUCCUCCUCUCUCCUCCACACUCUCUCUCUGUCUCCUCUCCUUCGCGCUAUACCAGUUCACUCCUUCUCUCUCCUCCACUAUCUCUGUGUCUCCUCUCCUUCGCGCACAUAUUUACGAAGUCGCAAAACAUCUCAAAGCAAUUCACAGUUUCAUAUACACCACUUUUAUCGCUUCUUCAAUGCCGAAGAAUGACCAGAUCUCAAACCCUAGAAUAUCAUCAUCAUUUUAUCCCCAAUCCAAUUCAAUUGAAUUUAGCAAAUCCACUCCAUCACCAGAUUUCAUAGUCUCUCCCAACGCUGAUUUGAUCUCGCAAUCGGAAACCCUAGAAUCCAUGGCAGGGGCGGCCUAUGCUCUCUUCCUUCUUGACAUCAAAGGCCGUGUUCUGGUGUGGCGCGACUACCGUUGCGAUGUAUCAACUGUUCAGGCCGAGAAAUUCUCACCGAGCUCAUCGAGAAGGAGAUCAGUAAAUUGGAUCCAGCCUCUUGGUUGCUGAUAAAAGGAAGGAAAUUGGAUCAAGCCUUUUAUGGAAUUUUUAUCAAUUGCACACCAAGAGUAAGUACUGAUGCUUGGGUGUAAAAAUUCCUCUAUAGUCUAUGCAAUGAAGUUAUAUAUGUACAUUGCAAAGUUGAAUAUUUGCUUAUUUGAUCAAUCUAUUUAAUUUUACUCUCUUUCCUGUGUCAUCAUGUCUAUAGAGUGAGAUAGGUUUGGAGGGAAAACUCAAAGAUAAGCUUCCAGUAAUCUUGUUUGGUAAAGAUUUUAGGACAUGAAGAAUUUUUCAGGAUUUCUCUUGUUUUUGUUUGUCUGUUUGUUUGUUUCUCUGUGUAUAAUUUUCCUCCAGGUCAGCCAAUAUGUGUGUGUGUAUUUAUAUAUGUAUAAUACAUUUGGAUAAGCCUUUAGAAUUUUUCAUGUUAUUGUGCAUACAAAAAUGAUGGUCUUGGGGUUAUGUUUUGGUCUUUAUCUAAAUAACAGAUAGGAGGAAUGACAUUAAGGGUGUAAUUUGGACCAUUAACCUGAAUCCAAAUCAAUUUUAACACUUAUGUGCAAUAAUUUAGCAAGCGUAUCAAAGUCGUCUCUACCCGCAACCCCCUUAACCUCCCCUGGAAGUAAUUGAACUACAUUUCUAUUGCUAGUGUACUACUACAUAUAUGUAUGUAUAACUCAACUCAACUGAAUAAACUUCUCAUUUCAACUCUUAAAAUUUAGACAACUCGAAUGUGACGGUCAAUGUAAAGGUAGUGUCCAAUCAAAUUAUAUAUAUAUAUAUAUAUAUAUAUAUAUAUAUAUAUAUAUAAAUGAUACAGCUUCAUGAAAACUCAAUACUAUGUAGGGUUGCCCCAUUAAGAAUUUGAUAGUAGUAGUAUGGUUUGUGACUCAUGGGGUCAACCUCUUUUAGGGGUCCUCCAAUAGUGUCAGAGAGAUUAUGUGUGAACAGAAGAGAGAGGCACUGUUUGGUAUUUGAGAAAAAGUGGAUGAAAAGGUUGCAGAAAGUGAACAGGAAGGGUGGAAACAAAACAGCAUAUCAAAUCAAACAACUUUUUAACCUCUGUAUUAUGAAUAAUUAGGAGAGAUGUUUCAUGAUACCUAGCAUUUUUGCUUUCGCCCUCCCGUAAUGUCAUGUUUGAUUCCUCCAAACCCAAAAUAAUGUCGUCCUAAUGAUGUUAAGCUCAGGAAUCACAACACUACUCCACAUACUCAUUUGUUGGAUUAUGGUCUUUAAAUCUGGCCUUGGAAAUUGAGGCACUGCUUUGGCUAAUGCUAUAUCUUAUUGAAUCAAUGUGCUAUUACUGGCUCUUUAUGUCUACUUAUCUCCUUCCUGCAACAAAACUUGGAUAGGCUUCUCCAACAAGGCCUUCCAUGAUGUUCCAAAGUUUGUAAGACUUGCAAGUUCUUCAGCUAUUAUGGUCUGGUAAUUCUUAGCUCUCUGUCUCUCUCUCUAUAUAUAUUUAUAUCUUAAUUUCACUCUUAUAUACUAUAUAACAACUAAUUAAUAUAUAUCCAUAUAUGUUUUGUUUGCUCGAAAUGUUAGUACCCUAAUUUAACCUGUUUCAUAUCUUGUUACUUAUAACAAACAGCUUGGAGAACUGGUCAUUUGAAAUGAUGGUUCUCUUGUCUGGUCUCCUUCUGAAUCCAAACCUUGGAACAUCAGUUUUGUCCAUCAGCCUUAAUACAUGUGCUAUGGUUUUCAUGAUACCCCUUGGACUCAGUGGUGCAGUAAGGUGAGUUGUAUGGACCUGAUGUUUUGAAACCUUUUCAAGAGAGAGGAAACAGAAGCAGAGGAAGAAAAAGAAGCAUGUCAUUUAUCAUCAUCUGUCAGGCAAAAAGGGUGAUGGUAGAACAUAAAGCAGCAUGAAGCAUUGGGAAAUAUUUUAGCUCAUUUCUGUGUUGUUUUUGUUCGGAAGAAUAAUAUGAAAAUGUAUGGUAAAACUUGAAUGAAACCGUUUCUAUGUUGUAGAAAUGAAACUACUUAUACACUAUAUAUUCUUUAAUAUGCGCAGCUGAUAUUGUUUCUUUACAAA